GUGGUCACUUCCGCAGCACAUAUACUAAAGUUGGAACAAUACAGGUAAGAUUAGCACGACCCCUGUGCAAAGAUGACACGCAAAUUCAUGAAGCGUUCCGCGUUUUU